ACGGAGGGUGCAAGCGUUAAUCGGAAUCACUGGGCGUAAAGCGCGCGUAGGCGGCACUGUAAGUCAGGGGUGAAAUCCCACGGCCCACCCUGGGAACUGCCCUUGAUACUGCCUUGCUUGAGUGAGUGAGAGGAUAGCGGAAUUCCUGGUGUAGGAGUGAAAUCCGUAGAGAUCAGGAGGAACAUCAGUGGCGAAGGCGGCUAUCUGGCACUAUACUGACGCUGAGGUGCGAAAGCGUGGGGAUCAAACAG
rnacentral:rRNA from 1 species